UUUGCCUAUCAAAACAGGCCCGUGGGGGUGUGGGGAAAAAUAGUCGGAUCCUUAUGUGCCAUCGCGGGAGUGUUGACAAUCGCAUUACCUGUGCCUGUUAUAGUUUCCAAU
rfam:Folsomia candida strain VT population Fcan01_Sc006, whole genome shotgun sequence.